CGGGGUGUGGCGCAGCUUGGUAGCGCGCUUCGUUCGGGACGAAGAGGUCGUGGGUUCGAAUCCCGCUACCCCGA
rnacentral:tRNA from 2 species